rnacentral:rRNA from 1 species
CUCUAUAGUCAUACGCCCCUGAAUGUGGAGAUCGUGGAAGCUAAGCAGAGUUAGGCCUGGUUAGUACUUGGAUGGGAGACCCACUGGGAAUACCAGGUGCGCUGUAAGCU